UGGGGAAUCUUCCGCAAUGGACGAAAGUCUGACGGAGCAACGCCGCGUGAGUGAAGAAGGUUUUCGGAUCGUAAAACUCUGUCUUUUGGGGCGAACGUGAGUAUGGUGAACAAUCAUAGUCAGUGACGGUACCAAAGGAGGAAGCCACGGCUAACUACGUGCCAGCAGCCGCGGUAAUACGUAGGUGGCAAGCGUUGUCCGGAAUUAUUGGGCGUAAAGAGCGCGUAGGCGGGAUAGUCAGUCUGUUGUAAAGUGCGGGGCUCAACCCCGUGAUGGCAAUGGAAACAGCUAUUCUUGAGUGCAGGAGAGGAAAGUGGAAUUCCCAGUGUAGCGGUGAAAUGCGUAGAUAUUGGGAGGAACACCAGUGGCGAAGGCGACUUUCUGGACUGUGUCUGACGCUGAGGCGCGAAAGCCAGGGGGAGCGAACGGGAUUAGAUACCCCGGUAGUCCUGGCCGUAAACGAUGGGUACUAGGUGUGGGGGGUAUCGACCCCUUCCGUGCCGGAGUUAACGCAAUAAGUACCCCGCCUGGGGAGUACGGUCGCAAGACUGAAACUCAAAUGAAUUGACGGGGGUCAUAGCUGUUUCCUG
rnacentral:rRNA from 1 species